AUGACUUUCUGUUUGGUAAAAAUCUGAACAGACAAUGAAGUUUUAAAAAAAGUAAAGAUAUUAUUAAUGCUGUGUUGUGUUGCAGGGUCCUCAUGGAUUCACUGGGCUAAAGGGGGAACCUGGGUUACACGGUCUCAAGGGACUGCGAGGGGAACCUGGGCAUAAGGGUGACAGAGGACCCCUGGGUCUCCCCGGUAUGGAUGGACCAAUAGGGACUCCUGGUCCAGCAGGUCCGAAGGGCGAUAGAGGUGAGAAGGGUGAUGUUGGUGAUCCAGGACCCAGAGGGCCAUAUGGGUUACCUGGAGCUGCUGGAACACCUGGAAUGGAUGGGGUACCAGGCUUAAAGGGAGACAAGGGCAACAUGGGGGAAAGAGGAGAAAAGGUGACUGUAACAUAGAUGUUGUGAAACAGGGAAUGAAACUUUCUCUAUCUUUGAUUAGAUCUGAUGUCAAUGGACAUUUACAAAGGAGUUUAGGCACAAAGCCUUCAUACAGACUGAAAGUGGACCAUGGAGUGAAAGAUCAGUGUGAAGAUAUUACAUUUAAUAGAUUCUCUUCUACAAAAGCAGUAGCAAAUAGCAAUAUUUAUAGUUGAAGGAAAAAAAAGUUUAUGAACUCUUUGAUUUUCAGCAUUAAUGAUUCACACAAUUUAUAACUUACUGUUGUCUGAAACAACAGACAAACAUGGUUUCCUUAUACAUUUAAAAUCAUUUAGGGUGAUCUAAGAGUGCACACAUUUAUCCCUUCCUAUACUAUGAAUGUUUAUGCAGUGUUUUUGGCACUUUUAUUUGUUUUAGUAAACUGUGUUUGUCUUUUGUUGUGGGUUAGUUAACAUUAAAAAUGUAUUGCUGAUAUUUAAUAAAUAAAUAAAAAAGUCAGGUAUAGUCAAAGGGUUCACAUAUUUUUUUUUACUCCAACGGUAUUUGUAUAAAUAUUUGUUUAUCAUCAUUCAGAAUUUCAUUACUAACAUAGCAUUUUACCAUCCCAUAAUCAUAAAAGUCAGGAAAAAAAUAAUUGUUUAGUUUAUUGCCAAGUGAAAAUAUUUAUUACAGUAAUUCUUGUUCCAGCAAGAAAUACAGAGUAAUUCCAUUGACAACAGGCUCAAUGCUUUUGUAAUGGCCCUGAACUGGCAGCUUCUUCUGCAUGAUUCCUUUCAUUUCAUCUGCCUGUUUCAUAGACUUACACACUGUGCCAGAAUGUGCCACUACAGUAUGUAGUAAGCAGAAAAUCCAAACCCAUUUCAGUUUUUAAGUUGUUUAAAAGUCUACAACUAAGUUCUAACAUGUCUAAAUAUACAGUUUUUUAAAUAUAUAAUUCCUGACAGUGGUCAUGAAAGACGUUUCAUUUAAUCACACUGAAGUCAUGUCAUUUAGCUGUAUACUAUAGAUGUAUUAGCAUGGCACUUGAAAUAAUUUACAGUAAACUUGAUUUGUUUUUUUAUGUUAUAAAUUAUGUAAUAACCUCCCAUUUUCAACAUUUCUUUUUUUCAUAAAGUUUCUUAAUACGUGUAAAUAAUUUUGAUGAACAUUAAAAGAUUACAUGGAACAUAUUUCACAGACAUUUGAUAGACAGGAAUGAAAUAAUGAGUAAACAAUGAAAAAAAAAUUGUUUCAAAAACACUUUCAAAUAACAUCUUUAAGGCUUAUUUAAAAUGUUACAAAAUUAUCUUUAAAAUGCAGCACCCUGAUAAAAGGACGUUUCAUUUUGCUUUGGAUGUUUGUUUGUUUGUUGUUUUUUUUUUUUUGCUUUUCUCCUACACUCAAGUAAGGUUCUGUAAGUCAUCAUAAAUAUAGUCUCGUGUAGCCAGACCUUCAGACUGACUGGAGAAGGUCUGGGAACCUUGGCCCGCACAAGAGGCUACUGUAUAUGACUGACAGGUAAAGCAACCUCAUCAUGUUUAUGGGUGUGGGUGGAAAUUUCACAUACUUUUGAAAAUCCAGCAUUUAGUUGAUCCUGAUAAACACUCAUUGUCACAGUUGUAAGCACAAUGGCUUUCUUCUAACAUGAGAGGGUUUGGCAUCGUGGCAUCUUUGUUUCCAGGCUGAACAUUAAAGAACGCAACACACACGUCUCUCGGAAAUCAUGUUUAAUUUAACCAGUCUAAUGACGACUUCAAAUUUCUAGUUUAGUGUGCCAUAUGCAUCAGACGUUCAGCAGACGACUCAUGAGGAUGAUUGUCUGAGGCUGAGACUAUUAUAAAUAUAACCUUCAUAAUUAAUUAAAUACAAUUCCCUUUCAUAGUUUCACUUGAUUCUGCAUCAGAAGCCCAUAUAAAUUGUCUGAAGACUAAAUAUAAACACUGAACGUACUGUGUGCUUCAUAGAAAAGCAUCAGAUUUACGACAGAAUUUUUUUAUUCGUCAUGCUGGAAGCGAUUAAUCUACCCUGUGAUAAACAUUUUUGUUAUUCUUUGCAUUGAAAAUGUAUGCUUCAGCAACCAGCUUGUUUGGAUCUCAUCUCUUUGUGGCUCUUCAUUUGAGGAAGUGUAUAACUAACUUCUCAUGCUUGAGCAGUGCAUUGUGGUACACAGAAGAUUGGUCAACCCACUCUGUUUGUGUGCUUAUAGUGACACCUCGUAAGAUCCCUGGUGUUCCAACCUGAGGCAAUGGAGGCUAUCUUUCUCUCUCUCACUUGAUCAUGUCAACUCUAUUCCUCCAGCUGAAUUAGCACCUGAUGAGCUCUGUGCACAUGGUGCAGUUUCUUUCAGGUUUGAAGACCCCUAGCAAUCAGG